rnacentral:rRNA from 1 species
UACGUAGGUGGCAAGCGUUGUCCGGAUUUACUGGGCGUAAAGAGCGCGCAGGCGGUCGUUCAAGUCGCGUGUGAAAGCCCCCGGCUCAACUGGGGAGGGUCACGCGAUACUGAUCGACUCGAAGGCAGGAGAGGGUAGUGGAAUUCCCGGUGUAGUGGUGAAAUGCGUAGAUAUCUGGAGGAACACCGGUGGCGAAGGCGGCAUCCUGGACCGAAACUGACACUGAGGCGCGAAAGCCAGGGGAGCAAACGGG